rnacentral:rRNA from 1 species
GGGAUAACCUUGGGAAACUGGGGAUAAUACUAGAUAGGCAAUUAUUCCUGGAAUGGUUUUCUGUUUAAAUGUUUUUUCGCCUAAGGAUGGGUCUGCGGCCGAUUAGGUAGUUGGUUAGGUAACGGCUUACCAAGCCAUUGAUCGGUACGGGUUGUGAGAGCAAGAGCCCGGAGAUGGAACCUGAGACAAGGUUCCAGGCCCUACGGGGUGCAGCAGGCGCGAAACCUCCGCAAUGUGAGAAAUCGCGACGGGGGGAUCCCAAGUGCCAUUCUUAACGGGAUGGCUUUUCAUUAGUGUAAAGAGCUUUUGGAAUAAGGGCUGGGCAAGACCGGUGCCAGCCGCCGCGGUAACACCGGCAGCUCUAGUGGU